rnacentral:rRNA from 1 species
GAUUCUGGCUCAGGACGAACGCUGGCGGCGCGCCUAACACAUGCAAGUCGAACGGGGUUAUACGGGAUGAAGUUUUCGGAUGGAAUUCUAUAUAGCCUAGUGGCGGACGGGUGAGUAACACGUGAGCAACCUGCCUAUCAGAGGGGGAUAACGAUUGGAAACGAUCGCUAAUACCGCAUGACAUAGCGAAGAGGCAUCUUUUUGCUAUCAAAGAUUUAUCGCUGAUAGAUGGG